GUGAUUUUGUUUUAUACAAAAUUUAUAAAAAGAUUUGCACAUUAUUGCAAAUCUUUU
rnacentral:ncRNA from 1 species